CAAACACAAAUUACAUGCAGUGUAUCUGGAUGAAAAGAAGGCUGAGUUGAAGCUUUCUCUAUACUUAAGUGGUAAAGAAGUAUUAAUAUUAUUGUUAAAUUAAAAAAUAAAUAGUAGCAACCAAAAAGGGUUUGGUCAGAAAUCGUGUUCUUGGAAAUGUUUCUUAAAGGAAAUGGUUUCCUUCUGUUAAUGUUAAAUUUUUCUAACAUACACAUUUAAUUUCUCAUGUGUAAAGUUUUUAAGAAGAAAUGUUUUAUUCAAAUAUUACAUGUUUGCUACCUUUUGUACAAUACACAUUUGAUGUUUUAAAGAAGUAGACAUGGAGUUAAGAUAAAUUUUUCUAGGAAAACUAUUCAUUAUUUUUAUUUAACCAUAUGACUCCUUUAAAUUCUUACCUCUCUUUUUCUGGGGUGCAAAUUCUAGGGAUGUGAGAAAUAGUGUGUCACUUUUGAAUUUUUUUCCAAAACAAACUUUCUAAAUAAAUUCCUGUGCUUAUAUUUUACUCUAUCAUUUAACACUUAGUGAGACCUUUUAUGUGGUAGGCAGUAUAAAACGUACUAGAGACAAGAAGACGUUUCAGAUACUCUCACUGGCCUCAAGGAGGUUUCAGAGCUAUGAUUGAUAGAAGAAUGCAUAGGGAGUAACGGGAAAGGUGAGGAAUUGUCCACUCAGCCUAGGGGCAAAGGAGGAGUAGUUAGGAAAUGCUUCUGAGAUUAGGGCAGCUGAUCCAGUUCAGCACACCUGAAGAUGGGAGUCUUAAUCAGGCAGUGGAAUUUAGUCCCAGUGGCUUGAGCAAAAGGUAUACAUAGCAAUGUGAUAGGAGAUCAGAUUGGAAAUGUAGUCAGAGGCCUUGUGUGCCAAAGGAGGAACAACAAGGAAACAGGAAACCAAGGAAGUAUUUUUGGCACAUCUCUAAUAAUUGUAGAGUUGGAGUUUUUGUUUUUCAACAAAAGAAAAUAGAAUAGCAUACUUUAGCACAUCAUAGAACAGAAAAUACCAGAAAGUGUUACAUGUAGUUAGGCCAACUGUUGUGUAGUGAAACUUUGGUUUUAGUUGUGUUUUAGAAAAAUAAUUGGCAGUAUGGAAAAUAGGACUUAAUAAGAUAACCUAUUUAAAAACAAUAUAAAAGUUUUGGUUUGGACUAAAACAUGCUUUUAAAAGGUACUAUAGUGACAUUAAUAUAAUUUUAUCUUCCGCUUCCUACCAGUUUUUAAGAACAUAUGCUAAAGAUAAAUAGAAGCUGCUUUCCUUAGAGAAGAGCAGAGUGAACUAAUUAAAAAAAAUUUAAGAGCGCUGAUGUUCAAAGCAGUCAUGUGACAUUUCAGAGGCUUCUGUCAAUCACAAUUGCAGCUUGCAUUAGCAUUUACCUUUUAGGAACUUAUAUGUAUGAUUUCAUUUAACGCUGACAUCAUCCUGAUGCCAUCACAGAGGUUCUGAGAAGAUGAUGAUGUUUCCAUUUUAUAGGUGAGAAACAAAUAUAGCUAUUAUAUAAUUAAAUCAGCAACACUGCCAGAACCACUACUGUACUGUACCACUUCAACAAAUGUUGUAUAUUCUAAAAUGUUAUGUUUUUAAAAAAUAAAAAGUAUUUGGGGCCAGGCCCGAGUGGUUAAAGUUCUGUGUGCCACGCUUCGGUGGUCUGGGUUCACCAGUUUGGAUCCCAGGCAUGGACCUACACCACUUGCCAAGCCAUGCUGUGGUGGUGACCCACAUAGAAAAUAGAGGAAGACUGGCACAGAUGUUAGCUCAGGACUAAUCUUCGCCAAGCAAAUAAAGAGGAAGCUUGGCAACAGAUGUUAGCUCCGAGCUAAUCUUCCUCAAACAAAAAAAAUGUAAUCUGAUAUGAGUUGAAAUAAGGAUUUCUUCAAAACCAUUUUCAUGUUACUAUCUUAAGCGUUAAGUAAUAUACAUUUAUCACAUUUGUUGAAACAACAGUUCAGUGUACAACUUGAAUCAAGUAACUUUUUGUCAAGGAAAAAGUAAGACCACUAAUGCAUGGUACAAAAUGUUUAAUAUACAUGCAACAAGUAUAGUACAUCAAGGCAACAAAACACAUGUGGAAAUAUUAGCAUAGCAUUCAGCAUUCUAUUUUGGGGAGAGUGUGUGAACAAUAGACACUACCAGCUAAAAUUAAAGACUGAGACAUACAUUGUUUCCUCAUGCAAACAUUAAUUACCUCUAUAACUAGUGUGAGAUGAACUGUGUAGAAACCUGAAUUCACAUUAGGAGAUGAAUUUUAUACCAAGAGCUCCAAGAAAGGAGGAAAAGUCUUGAUUCUCAGAUGUCAUGUUUGAAUCUGCAUUUAGCAGCAUGUUAAGAUGGACAAGUUACCAUAUACAUCAGACAAAUCUGAAAAAUUUUAUCAGUUACAGAAUCUUGAAUUUCCUUUCUAUAUUUAUUAUAAAAAUGUAUGGAGGGGGCUGGCCCCGUGGCCGAGUGGUUAAGUUCAUGCACUCUGCUUCAGUGGCCCAGGGUUUUGCCGGUUUGAAUUCUGGGCCCAGACAUGGCACCGCUCAUCAGGCCAUGCUGAGGUGGCGUCCCACAUACCACAACUAGAAGGACCCAGAACUAAAAAUACACAACUAUGUAUCAGGGGGCUUUGGGAGAAAAAGGAAAAAUAAAAUCUUAAAAAAAAAAAAUGUAUGGAAAAAAUUUAACAAUGAUAUUUUUUUAAACUAUGGAAGCAUAAUGUUAGUUGAGAGUGGACCAGGAAUGGUAAAGCAUUUAACCAUUCUGAUAGUUCUUAGGAAAGCAGCAGUAGUGCUUAUGGCCAGCUGAAAAUGUUUGCAGUUCCCCUCAUUAACCAUUUCUCACUCCCUCCUCCCAAGGUUUCCAGUGUCCUCAUUUUAUACCUUCCUUCCAUCCCCCAUGCUGGUUAAAAAUUGCUUUUGAUACCUC
ensembl:lncRNA